GGCGGCGUAGCUCAGUUGGCUAGAGCGUACGGUUCAUACCCGUAAGGUCGGGGGUUCGAGGCCCUCCGCCGCUACCA
rnacentral:tRNA from 1 species